CAACUUUCAACAAUGGAUCUCUUGGCUCUCGCAUCGAUGAAGAACGCAGCGAAAUGCGAUACGUAAUGUGAAUUGCAGAAUUCCGUGAAUCAUUGAAUCUUUGAACGCACCUUGCGCCCCUUGGUAUUCCGAGAGGCAUGCCUGUUUGAGUGUCAU
rnacentral:rRNA from 1 species